GACGCUGGCGGCAGGCUUAACACAUGCAAGUCGAGCGGUAACAGGGGAAGCUUGCUUCCCGCUGACGAGCGGCGGACGGGUGAGUAAUGCUUAGGAAUCUGCCCAGUAGUGGGGGAUAGCCCGGGGAAACCCGGAUUAAUACCGCAUACGUCCUACGGGAGAAAGCAGGGGAUCUUCGGACCUUGCGCUAUUGGAUGAGCCUAAGUCGGAUUAGCUAGUUGGUGGGGUAAAGGCCUACCAAGGCGACGAUCCGUAGCUGGUCUGAGAGGAUGAUCAGCCACAUCGGGACUGAGACACGGCCCGAACUCCUACGGGAGGCAGCAGUGGGGAAUAUUGGACAAUGGGGGCAACCCUGAUCCAGCCAUGCCGCGUGUGUGAAGAAGGCUUUCGGGUUGUAAAGCACUUUCAGUAGGGAGGAAAACCUUAUGGCUAAUACCCAUGAGGCUUGACGUUACCUACAGAAGAAGCACCGGCUAACUCCGUGCCAGCAGCCCGCGGUAAUAC
rnacentral:rRNA from 1 species